rnacentral:rRNA from 1 species
GACGGAGGGUGCUAGCGUUGUUCGGAAUUACUGGGCGUAAAGGGUGCGUAGGCGGGUCUUUAAGUCAGGGGUGAAAUCCCGGAGCUCAACUCCAGAACUGCCUUUGAUACUGAAGAUCUUGAGUUCGGGAGAGGUGAGUGGAACUGCGAGUGUAGAGGUGAAAUUCGUAGAUAUUCGCAAGAACACCAGUGGCGAAGGCGGCUCACUGGCCCGAUACUGACGCUGAGGCACGAAAGCGUGGGGAGCAAACAGG